UCACAUCCUGGGGCUGUAGUAGGUCCCAAGGGUUGGGCUGUUCGCCCAUUAAAGUGGUACGCGAGCUGGGUUCAGAACGUCGUGAGACAGUUCGGUCCCUAUCCGUCGCAGGCGUAGGAAAUUUGAGAAGACCUGUCCUUAGUACGAGAGGACCGGGAUGGACGUACCUCUGGUGUACCAGUUGUUCUGCCAAGGGCAUGGCUGGGUAGCUAUGUACGGAAUGGAUAAGCGCUGAAAGCAUCUAAGCGCGAAGCCAACUUCAAGAUAAGAUUUCCCACCGCAAGGGUAAGACCCCAGAAAGACUAUCUGGUUGAUAGGUC
rnacentral:rRNA from 1 species